rnacentral:piRNA from 1 species
UCUCAGCUUCAAACUUUGUCUCUAUAA